rnacentral:rRNA from 1 species
AACGUAGGACACAAGCGUUAUCCGGAGUUACUGGGCGUAAAGGGCGCGUAGGCGGUACUUCAAGUCAGGCGUGAAAGCCCCGGGCUCAACCUGGGAACCGCGCUUGAGACUGGAGAACUAGAGUUCGGGAGAGGAUGGUGGAAUUCCCAGUGUAGAGGUGAAAUUCGUAGAUAUUCGGAGGAACACCAGUGGCGAAGGCGGCUCACUGGCCCGGUACUGACGCUGAGGUGCGAAAGCGUGGGGAGCAAACAGG